rnacentral:rRNA from 1 species
UACGAAGGGAGCUAGCGUUGUUCGGAAUCACUGGGCGUAAAGCGCACGUAGGCGGAUUUGUCAGUCAGGGGUGAAAUCCCGGGGCUCAACCUCGGAACUGCCUUUGAUACAGCAAGUCUUGAGUUCGAGAGAGGUGGGUGGAAUUCCUAGUGUAGAGGUGAAAUUCGUAGAUAUUAGGAAGAACACCGGUGGCGAAGGCGGCAUCCUGGACCAACACUGACGCUGAUGAGCGAAAGCCAGGGGAGCAAACGGG